UUCCCAAUCAUUAGCAGCCCCUUCAUUUAUUGAUAAGAUCACACAGCGUGUGACACAAGACGUUGAGUCUAGGUUCACUACGACGAUCAAGAACCUAACGGCACGUGUUUUGUUCUUAGAGUCACAGGGUGUGGCUGGGAGUAUGAGCUUGAGAGAGGUGUCAGAUGCAUCUAGUGGGCAACAAGCUUCAAAAGAAAAUGAAUAGAGACAUCAUCUUCUUCUCCUUGUCCUUAUACAUUCCAUUCUUUUCCUCUCUUAUCAGGUCCAAUCUCUAGGAUAGCUUCUUCUAAAAUGACAAAACUGAAGAAACUGAAGAAUGACAUUCCAUUUCUUCCCGGGAAAUCUUUUUUCAGAUUCUUAUUUUCCUUCGUGCAGAGUUUCUGCAUAACUGUGGGAGAUAUGUGAGCAGGGCUUGGUCAAAAAUUAUAUCCAGA